CCGGGGUCUGACAGACGUUCCUUGUAACAGUCUCUCUCUUUCUCUCUCCACCCAGCGCUAAUCAGCCACACUCAUUACUGACGCUGAUUAAACUGCAAAUUAGCCAGCGGCGGCCCUCGCGCGCUUCGCUCAAUAUCAAUUAAGGCGAGCAGCUUGCGCGCGCUCUCGGGAAUGCCAUCCAAAUGCUUGAUCGUGUCACUUAUUAGUUUGGAAAACUAGGAAAAUACCAAUAAUCAACCGUCAAGGGAAUAAAAGAGACAAACUGGUAAUUCCUGCAGGAACGGUGCUCUGGAAUGGUGCUCAGUAUCAGCACAUCCUGCCACAGUGUAAUUUGCACUGUAGGAUGAAGAUGAAGACACCACUUCUGCUGUGACAGAGGUACAAAAUGAAGAUGCUGGGAGGACCACAGAGAUUAUGGCUGGGGAUUCCUGUACAGAGGAAGGUCCAUCUACAUCCACACAGAAUGUAAAAAUUGUUUGCAGUUGUCCUGAUUAAAAAUAUUUGGUCUGUGUAUUACAGAUUAUAUAUCAAUUAUAUUGAAUUAUCAUUCUGUCUUCCAAGCUGCCUGAAAAAGGAGCUGUAUAAGGUCCAUCUUCAAAUGCAAAUUAGAAAAGUUGAUCUGGAGCUGGACCUUCUACAACUACAAAUGGAGAAGAAAAAAAAAACGUGAACUUAAAAAGGCCAGUCUUGAAACUGAAUUGCUGAAGCACUGGUAUUUUUAAGCAAAUAUUAAGUAUUUACCUAGUGAUUAUUGUUGAAUGGUCAAGCAAUAAAUAGAAAUGUCUUUCAAUUAGAGGAAAUAAAGAAACAAUGAACCACACUUAACUGUUCACUUUGUGCAUUAGUCAUUUAAUUAGAAAUGAUGUUGGCAGAUCACAUUACACUCUGCAAUCUCUUUGGUUCACUCUUGCUAUCUUCAUAAAUGGUUCAUCAUGGUUUAUGGCCAGAGAACUUCACAACAUUGUGUAGACCAGCUCAUUGAUGGUUAGACCAAUUUUAAC
ensembl:lncRNA